rnacentral:rRNA from 1 species
UACGUAGGUGACCAGCGUUGUCCGGAUUUACUGGGCGUAAAGAGCGCGCAGGCGGUCGAUCAAGUCGAGUGUGAAAGCCCCCGGCUCAACUGGGGAGGGUCACUCGAUACUGAUCGACUCGAAGGCAGGAGAGGGAAGCGGAAUUCCCGGUGUAGUGGUGAAAUGCGUAGAUAUCGGGAGGAACACCAGUGGCGAAGGCGGCUUUCUGGCCUGCUCUUGACGCUGAGGCGCGAAAGCUAGGGUAGCAAACGGG